rnacentral:rRNA from 1 species
UACGGGGGGGGGCAAGCGUUGUUCGGAAUUACUGGGCGUAAAGGGCUCGUAGGCGGCCAACUAAGUCAUACGUGAAAUCCCUCGGCUUAACCGGGGAACUGCGUCUGAUACUGGAUGGCUUGAGAUUGGGAGAGGGAUGCGGAAUUCCGAGGUGUAGCGGUGAAAUGCGUAGAUAUCUGGAGGAACACCGGUGGCGAAGGCGGCAUCCUGGACCAACACUGACGCUGAGGAGCGAAAGCCAGGGGGAGCAAACGGGG